rnacentral:lncRNA from 1 species
GUGCUACUACCAGUAUGAAUCAACCUCUUACCUCAUAAAUAGUGAGCAAGCCCAGGGGCUUCUGGGCUCUUCUGUAGGACAGUCUCCUGUGUGAUGGAUCGCCUCUAACGUAAGGGUGGCUCUUGAAGUUAUGCCUGUUUUGGUGCUGUGUGAUGCCUUGCUGAUACAGACCUUUGGUAUGCUCAAAGCACUGAUGGAAGAUAUCUACUCUGAAGUGUUUCUGAUAAAAAUGGAAGAAAAUUGUCAAAGGAUUGAAGAAUGAUAUUUAUGCCGUAUAUUAAAGCUUAUUUUACAUGCUAAACUGGAUUGGGGAAUUCAUUUCUCAUAGAAGCUGUUGACAGCUCUAACUUAAGAAGCUAUUUUUCAUAGAUCAGAUUAUCUGCUGAAGUGACCGUCUUCAAACUGAGUGGUGAGGAGAGCUGGGUAAAAUGGAGUAAUUACAGUUCUGUACUGUAUACUGCUGAAUAAAGAAUGUAGAGAUCAUGAGCCA